CGUAAUAUGCGCUCAGCCUGAUCAGCCAUGCCGCGUGCAGUGAGAAGGCCUUCGGGUUGUAAAGCUCUUUUACUAGGGAAGAACGGGUCUUACGUGUACCGGAUUGUCUGGACGGUACCAAUACACUACGCACCGGUAUACUCCGUGCCCCCCGCCGCUAUAAUA
rnacentral:rRNA from 1 species